rnacentral:rRNA from 1 species
CUUCUAAAUAAAGACUGGUAUGAACGGCCACACGAGGACUUGACUGUCUCCCUUGUCCAAUCAGUGAAACUGAUCUCCUUGUGCAGAAGCGGGGAUAAAUCCAUAAGACGAGAAGACCCUAUGGAGCUUUAAACUCAAUAUUAAUUACCUUUAACUCCCUCUAAGGAACAAACAAAUAAUUUUUUAAACUUGAUAUUAGUUUUAGGUUGGGGCGACCAUGGAGAAAAAAAUAUCCUCCCUGAUGAUUUUCUAACCAAGAGCUACAGCUCUAAGUAUUAAGAUUCUUAACUCCCAUUGACCCAUUUUAUGAUCAACGAACCAAGUUACCCUAGGGAUAACAGCGCAAUCCAUUUCAAGAGUCCCUAUCGAC